AUUGAACGCUGGCGGCAGGCCUAACACAUGCAAGUCGAACGAGUGGCGGACGGGUGAGUAAUGUCUGGGAAACUGGCUGAUGGAGGGGGAUAACUACUGGAAACGGUAGCUAAUACCGCAUACCAUACGAUGUGCCCAGAUGGGCUUAGCUUGUUGGUGGGGUAAAGGCUCACAAAGGCGACGAUCCCUAGCUGGUCUGUGAGGAUGACCAGCCAAAUGGGAACUGAGACACGGUCCAUACUCCUACGGGAGGCAGCAGUGGGGAAUAUUGCACAAUGGGCGCAAGCCUGAUGCAGCCAUGCCGCGUGUAUGAAGAAGGCCUUCGGGUUGUAAAGUACUUUCAGCGGGGAGGCGUUACCCGCAGAAGAAGCACCGGCUAACUCCGUGCCAGCCGCCGCGGUAAUAC
rnacentral:rRNA from 1 species